rnacentral:sRNA from 1 species
AUUUGUUGCGGACAGAUAAAGUGGAUGUGUGCAUCGAUACCUCCCGCAGUCAGAAUCUGUCCUUCCCCUGCUAUCGCUUCGGUACCCGGCCCAACGACGAUAUCUACAUUAGCCUGGGUAUCGGGAUUCCCCGCCUUACCAAUACCUACUAUUCGACCUGCUUUAAUACCUACGUCCGCUUUGACGAUACCCCAGUAAUCAACAAUAAGCGCAUUAGUGAUCACGGUGUCCACAGUUUCGCUGGAUGGUCGCUGAGACUGACCCAUACCGUCCC